GGGGACUGUACAAGAAUGUGGAUACCAGGAAAUGAGGAUCAGUGGGGACCAGCUUGGAGGCUGACAACAACAGGAGAUGAUAAUGAAUAGUGAAAAAUGCCAAGCAGACAAUAAGCAGGAGGAACAGAGGAAACCCACAAAUUGGAUAAUUGUUUCUUGAGUAACUGACCAUCGAUCUAAAUAGUGGUUGCAGUAAUUUCAAAUUCUUCUCUUCCUUUUCACUUCAGGCUUCAUUUGGUCUCUUUUCGAAUCAGAAGACCCAGAAAACUUGGAUCCACUUCUGGCUCUCAUCCCUCUGGGCAGUGU